GGAAAAUAUUAUGUAUAUAUCUGUUUAAUAUGUGCUUGAUUAAGUCUGUGUGUAUGGGAGGUCAGGAAUUAUCUUCAAAGGGAGUUUCUGUUUAGAUAGUUGGAAAGAUACAGCACCUGAAAGGCACCAAUCACAUUUACAUAUCAACUGGUCUUCAAAGGAGUCCCUAUCUAGGAAAACACACCUUGGGUUAGAGGCAAAGGGAUGGCUGGGAGAGUUGACACUUAAAUAAAAUAACAGGAUAGACAACACUUUGGGCCUUGGGAAAGUAAAUCACAUUUACAUAUCAAUUGAGCUGAGGAAUUUGCUAUUUACAACAUGGGAACCAAUUCCUUUAAAAAUAGAAGAUACUGAC